rnacentral:rRNA from 1 species
AUGGUGCAGGCCAUGGCCCUUUCCGCGGCCGGCGACUGCGUGGUGCCACCGGUGGCCCCGCCGUCCCCUCCCCGACGCCUCGUCAAGGCCGACCCGGAGCCGCAGCCGGAGCCGGAGCCGGGCUGCAUCGCGAGCUUCUCCUGGACGGGAGUGGUGCGCGCGUGGGUGUCCGCGCCACCGGUUUGGAUGGAUGCGACCCCGGCACAGGAGGCGACCUACCUUGAGCACUGGCGCCAGCGACGGCUGGCUGAGGAGCGGCGUCAAGGCGAGUACAAGGAGAUGCUCGGGCGCGACCACGAGGAGGAGGCGCACGAGGCUGAGGAGGAGGUGAGCCAGGCCGUGGCUGCACAGACGGCGGCAGAGCCCCUCGCGCCGGCACUACCCCCACCGGAACAGCUGCCCCCGGACUACGUCGCCGCCGCAUGGGCCACGGCGUUCCCCUGGGCCGGCCCUCCGCCGACGCUCAUCGAACUCACCGACCCCGAGGACGAUGACGACGACGACGCCUAG